UUGGCUGGUUGUCCGGGAACUCUAAGAUCUCAGCAGAAGGCAUCUCCCUCUCCUAGUGUGCCCAUGGCUGGACCCAGGGAACAGCAUCAGACCUUGGCUGAUGACAGCUUCUAGAAUUCAAGUCCAUGCCUGAGAUGCAGCAAGAAACUGAGAAGGAUGAAGGGAUGACAUGGAGAAAGAAUGAAGUGGUGCAGGGGUGAGGGGUGAAGGAGUCCUUACACACCAAGUGAAGAGGCAAAGCUGCUAACAUGCUCACAUGCACAGCACACUCUACACUGAGCAGGGCAGAGACAUGUGAAUGAAAGGACCAAUGCAAUGCCAUCCAGCACUGCCUGAGCUGAAAGUCCUGAGAGCGGAGCUGUUUCUGUUUCCACUGAAAGUCAUCAGAGCGGAGCUGUUUCUGUUCCUGCUAAAAGC